GUGGCUACAGUUGACGAGUACUUCUUCAAAAUCGUAUCUGCAUAUUUGAAAAAGAAAGAAGAUAAAAUUCCUUGUGCUGCAUUGUUGCAUAUCAAAAGCAUGGUAGCCUUUGAGUGACCUUGCAGGAUAUCCAAGGUACUAGGACCUUUAAAAAUGGCAGUUAUUAGGAUGGCAAGGAAAUUGAAUAUGGCACCAUACCCAUACAGAAAGAGGUUCUGAAGAUAAAUACUGGUCUCAAACUGGCUCUUCAAAGCAUACUCAUUAUAGACUGAAGCUAGUGAUGGAACAGUCACAAAAAUUAGUGUAUGCAAGUAUGCCCCUGUUGCAACUGAAAGGCCCA
rnacentral:misc_RNA from 1 species